GACGAACGCUGGCGGCGUGCUUAACACAUGCAAGUCGAACGGAAAGGCCUCUUUCGGGGGGUACUCGAGUGGCGAACGGGUGAGUAACACGUGAGUAACCUGCCCUUGACUUUGGGAUAACUUCAGGAAACUGGGGCUAAUACCGGAUAGGAGCUCCUGCUGCAUGGUGGGGGUUGGAAAGUUUCGGCGGUUGGGGAUGGACUCGCGGCUUAUCAGCUUGUUGGUGGGGUAGUGGCUUACCAAGGCUUUGACGGGUAGCCGGCCUGAGAGGGUGACCGGCCACAUUGGGACUGAGAUACGGCCCAGACUCCUACGGGAGGCAGCAGUGGGGAAUAUUGCACAAUGGGUGGAAGCCUGAUGCAGCAACGCCGUGUGCGGGAUGACGGCCUUCGGGUUGUAAACCGCUUUCGCUCAUGACGAAACUUUGUGUGACGGUAGUGGGUAAAGAAGCACCGGCUAACUACGUG
rnacentral:rRNA from 1 species